GGGGAAUAUUGCGCAAUGGGCGAAAGCCUGACGCAGCGACGCCGCGUGAGGGAUGACGGCCUUCGGGUUGUAAACCUCUUUCGGCAGGGACGAAGCCUCUUCGGGGGUGACGGUACCUGCAGAAGAAGCGCCGGCCAACUACGUGCCAGCAGCCGCGGUAAGACGUAGGGCGCGAGCGUUGUCCGGAUUUAUUGGGCGUAAAGAGCUCGUAGGCGGCUUGUCGCGUCGACUGUGAAAACCCGGGGCUUAACUUCGGGCUUGCAGUCGAUACGGGCAGGCUGGAGUUCGGUAGGGGAGACUGGAAUUCCUGGUGUAGCGGUGAAAUGCGCAGAUAUCAGGAGGAACACCGGUGGCGAAGGCGGGUCUCUGGGCCGAUACUGACGCUGAGGAGCGAAAGCGUGGGGAGCAAA
rnacentral:rRNA from 1 species